GGAUUAACAUGAGUUGAGAUUUGUGAGUUUGGUGUUAUUUACCGAGCUUUGUUUGUUUUGAUUGACUGUUUGCAGGGAAGAGGUUGAAUCAAGGAAGAGGCUGAGUGAGAAGAAUGCAGAGGACUUGAAGCAUAUGGAUAAAAGACAAAGAGACAACCAGGUUGCGUAGAGAACCCUACUGAAGUACUUUCGACGAGCAGUAGCGUCUAGACAAACAAUUCUCAAAUCUUGGUAAUACGUGUUACAUGAACGCCAUUCUCCAGUCGCUAUUCUGUCUGGAAUGCUUCACUGCAGACAUGCAGAAUCAAGACAUCAUUCCACUCGUGCAGAAAUCAAGUCUC